GUGCUCGCUUCAGCAGCACAUAUACUAAAAUUGAAACAAUACAGAGAAGAUUAGCAUGGCCCCUGUGCAAGGGUGACACGCAAAUUCAUGAAGUGUUUCAUAUUUUU
rnacentral:snRNA from 1 species